CGGUUAUUUAAAUUAUUAAACAUAUUCGGCCAACACCUAAAUUUAUCCCCAAAACAAAACAAGUUCACUACAUAAUAAAAAAUUUAUCUAGUUUUUCCGUCCAUCUACCGUCCACUUCAAUGAAUUAUUUGUUUUUAAUAAUGAAUCAAUCUCAUUGUAGUCUCCGCCUCUCCUUUCAUUUCACCCAAUCCAAUUCAAUCUCCUUCUUUCUCCUCUCCCUCAUGUCUUCUGCAAUUCCAAAAUGAGAAGAAACAAAAAUCUAAUCUAAGGCCGCCCGCCGCAACACUCAUCUCACUCUUCUGCCUCAACCUGUCGGUCUCGAGAUCCAGGAGCUCUUCUUCGUCCAUCUCCUCCCUGUUUUCAGUGGUUCGGGUAACAGAGGAACAAAAUUUCUCGAAUUCGGGCUCGAGCGGUGAUGACUGGGCCGCUUCCGAUGGGGAAGGAUCGUUGCUGAGGACGAAGGUGCUUUCGAAGAUGAAUGGUGGGCAGGCUCCGAAAUAGUAAACGCCACUUACUCCGGUGGCAGUCGUGAUUCCUAGGAUUUCGCUAAGGUGGGGUGUUUUUCUAACGAUUCAGCUUAGGCGGGUUGAUUCUGGCGAUUCACCUUAGGUUGGGUGUGAUUCCGACGAUUCAGCUCAGGUGGGAUAUUGAUUCUGGCUAUUCAGGUUAGGCGGUGUGAUUCUGGCGAUUUAGCAUAUUUUGUUCCUAAAGUGCCGGUUUCCAUGAUGAUAGAAGAAGCCAGUCAUAUCAUGGUUACUGACUCGAUUUGGUAAGUCAUCAAAGAAAAACCAGCUCUGGUUGGGUAAUCUUAGAAGAGACACUCAACAACCAAAUCAAACGUAGGUUCGGUUGAUAAUCGAAUACAGAUUUUUCGGAGUAAACAAUUUCACCCCAUUUUUUCCCUCUCACACUUUUUUUCUGAGAUUUUAAUUCUGUUAAGAUUGACAUAAAUUUUUGAAGUAAAUCCCUGAUCUGAUUAUAGGCGAUAUGAUUUAUUCGUCAAAUCCGUCUGAUUUGCUCGUUUCAUUGUAGUGGUUUUGGCCAUUAUCGAUGGAGCAUUGCCGCCGUGAGCCUGACGAGAUUUCAACAUCGCUGGUUGUCGUGUUGAUGGAUGCUGGAAGAGGAGUAAAAAUGUAAAAAUGGAAAAAUCGAUUUCGGGUUGCAGUUCGUCCUCCGACCUCCGCUCCUCGCUUUGAUUCCGCAAUCGAUCUCUUUAUCUCUUCGUGGAGAUAAGGAGAGUGAGGAAUUUCCACUAAAUCGUUCAUCCUCCGACCUACGCUCCUCGCUUGAAUUUUGCAAUCGAUCUCUAAAUCCAGGCAUGGAGAGACAGGGAACCAAUCAAUGGAAGAGACAACAAGGUUCUGACGACAAUCUGGAUGGAAGGUGGUGAUGGGAAUCUAGAUGGGAGGUGGUGCAAUCUGGAUGGAAGGUGGUGACGGGAAUCUAGAUGGGAGGUGGUGCAAUCUGGAUGGAAGGUGGUGACGGGAAUCUAGAUGGGAGGUGGUGCAAUCUGGAUGGAAGACGGUGACGGCAGAAGUCCGACAAUAUAGAGGAAGUCCGACGGUAUUAAUUAAUUAAUUGAAUAACCAUUAAAUAAGGGGAUUACUAAACGACACCCUGCUUUUUACGAACCAACGCCCUAAUAUCGUCCAAUUAUUUGAGUUCAAAUGUAAAAUGACGUCAUCGCCCCUUAAAUAGUAAAAUGAAAUUCUUUAUAAAAUGCGGAAUUCCGAAGAACAGCUAUACUUCAUUCCAAACGACCCUUUAAAACCC
rnacentral:lncRNA from 1 species